rnacentral:rRNA from 1 species
CUCUUGACAUCCACGGAAUUUGGCAGAGAUGCCUUAGUGCCUUCGGGAACCGUGAGACAGGUGCUGCAUGGCUGUCGUCAGCUCGUGUUGUGAAAUGUUGGGUUAAGUCCCGCAACGAGCGCAACCCUUAUCCUUUGUUGCCAGCGAUUCGGUCGGGAACUCAAAGGAGACUGCCGGUGAUAAACCGGAGGAAGGUGGGGAUGACGUCAAGUCAUCAUGGCCCUUACGAGUAGGGCUACACACGUGCUACAAUGGCGCAUACAAAGAGAAGCGACCUCGCGAGAGCAAGCGGACCUCAUAAAGUGCGUCGUAGUCCGGAUCGGAGUCUGCAACUCGACUCCGUGAAGUCGGAAUCGCUAGUAAUCGUGGAUCAGAAUGCCACGGUGAAUACGUUCCCGGGCCUUGUACACACCGCCCGUCACACCAUGGGAGUGGGUUGCAAAAGAAGUAGGUAGCUUAACCUUCGGGAGGGCGCUUACCACUUUGUGAUUCAUGACUGGGGUGAAGUCGUAACAAGGUAGGCGUAGAUGA